GCCACCGCUGGUUUCGUCGGUUCGAUUUCUUCGAGCGAACUUCUGGGACUGUUUGAAUAGCUUGAACUAGUUUGAACUUCGAGUUACUUUGAUUUCCAAUUAAGCUACGUCCAGCCGCGUCCACAACGGUGACUGCUGACUGAUAAAGCGGACAACGGAACAGCUUCUUGACGGCGGGACUCGAGAACCGCAAAGAAGUCCUAAGCAUCGUGUCCAAAGCAGGAAGUGCUGGUGCGAAUCUCAGCUCUAGAAGGACGACAUUCUGUGUUUACUUUUAUUUUAUCCAUUAAUAACAAUUUAUUCGUUAGUAUUUGCCACCUGCUCAGUAUGGCAAUAAUGUGUUUUUUUUUUUUUUUUUUUUUUUUUUGUCUUGCUUUCAUCUAGUCAUCAGUUGUGGACAUUUCUUUUAAAACCUUUUCCUAAUCAUGUGUUCCAGACAGGUUUUUAAGCUUUUUAUAGCUCUAUUUUUACUUUUGCAACUUGAACAUUUAUAGCUGCUCGGUAUGAGAAUGCGGAGAGCUCAAACUCCUCUGAAACGCCCUCGCGGUUGGAGUAGGAUGUGAACAUUUGAGAACAUUUAUUAAAUUAUAACAAAGAGAAACAAUUUUGGUAUGAAGCAAAGUCCACUGUAAAACCGUAAGAUGACAUUUUAGUUCUUGUAGCAUUCAUUUUAAUGAGAAAGUUUGUGAGCAGGAAAGAUAAUUAUGCUUUCUUUCAUGAUGGCAAGCUUUUUCCACCAAAAUUAGUGCUAGCAUUCUCGGUGCUAUUUUUUAUGUACCGCAAAUUGGGCUUAAGAUGGACGUCAGCUCAUAGAGAAUUUUAAUUUUUAUUAUCUUUUGAUCUAUGUAAUGUCGUGUUUUCAAACUUUUGUACCCUACUCCAAUCGCCAGGGCUACAUUCUACCAGAGUUUGAGGUCGUUGUGAUGUCUAGUUUAUUUUUGCGGUAGAGAAACGCUGUUGAGUUUUCUCGCUCCUUUCUUUAAUUAUGUGAGCUUCAUGAACCCAAUUUGCAGGCCUUCAAGCUUCUUCGGAAGUGUGAUUUUUUUUCAUAAUUGUUCACUUUAAUUUUUUUUUAGAGGGAAAAUUAUUUUAACUGCAUAGCCUAGCAAUAUUGUCGCUGCUCAUGUACACUUCAAUGUUCCAAAUUUGGAGAGUCAAUAAAUGUACUCAUAAACAUGUA
rnacentral:lncRNA from 1 species